AUCAGUCAGGUAACGUUGCAUUGCAUCCGCAAAAAAUUCAUAUUUUAUGAGAAUCAUUCUACGAUUUUAUAGUUUCUUUUGAUUGUAAAACGAUUCUUCUAUUAGUGCUUUUAUUUUGGUUUUUCAUCUCUUUUGAUAGUCUAGGUUUGACAAGAAAAAAAGAGGGAUUCAAUGUAGGCACUAUUGUUUGUUUGAAAAGGUUUACAAUGCUAUUAAUAAUUACGUCGUAAAACAACAACAACAACAACAGACCCAGUCCCAGUGUAUUCCCACCAAAUUGGGUCUGGGGAGGGUAAGAUGUACACAGACCAUACCACUACCUCCGAGGAAGUAGAGAGGUUGUUUCCGAUAGACCCCCGGCUCAAGGAGUGAGAGGGAAAAUAAGGAACUUCUUUCAAUCUAAAAAGAAGUUAGAGUUUGGAAAAGAAGAUAAAAAGGAAUAGUUUCAUGUUUUUGGUUGGGCACCUUGAUGUUUGGCCUGUUUUGAGCUUGUAAGUCCUUUCUUUUAAAACUUUUUUUUAUUAAAAGAAGUCCUCUCUUUUGAUAAAGUUAAUUUGAAAUUUUUUUGUUAGGUUUGUAAAAUUUAAAAUCAAGAAUCUAUUAGGUUUUGAUGCAGAUUCGGUUGGACUUCGAGAAUCUUUUGUAUACAUAUGAACAUUCAAUCAGGCUUUGAGGAAUUUUAUAUAGGUUAUAUUUAAUCAUAUUGUUUUUACAUUUUCAUUAUCGUAUUGUGUUAUUGUAAUGUCGAUGGAUGUUCGUAAGGAACUUUUUGUAAAAGUUAUGUUAUCUUGAUUAUCGCGA